GUAGGUGAACCUGCAGAAGGAUUAUUACUUAAUCCAUGGCUAAAAGGCCCGCUUGAAGUAUUGGUGCCUAACCCGGGUACUGGCGUGGAUGGUAGACACUUUGUGAAAACCCCCUGUUGCUUCAGCAGCUCCUCCCUGUCCGCAGGGAGGGUUAGCCUGCUGAUGGCACCUAGGAAACUCUUUUGAAAUCAGUAUUAAACCAUCUGACUGUACAGUUAAAUGACUAUAAAACUUUCAAUAAUAGAUCUCUUAGUUCCU
rnacentral:misc_RNA from 1 species